rnacentral:SRP_RNA from 1 species
GCCGGGCGCGGUGGCGGGUGCCUGUAAUCCCAGCUACUUCGGAGGCUGAGGCAUGAGAAUCGCUUGAGCCCAGGAGGUGGAGGUUGCAGUGAGCCAAGAUUGCAUCACUGAACUCCAGCCUGGGCAACAGAGCAAUUCUCUGUCUCAA